AAUAAUAAUUCUAUAAAAUAAAAAAAAUAGUAAAAAAAUAUUUUAUUAAAGUAGUUAGAGCUAUAAUAGUUAUAGCUAAAGUAUUUAUAGUUAAAAUGAUUGAAUCAAGCUUAAAAACUUUGUAGAUAAAAACACGAAUCAUCCAUAAAUAUAUGAAGAUUAUAUUAAUUUUUUUACAAUCAUUUAUAUAUAUAAAUUUUACAUUAUAACAAUGGCUAAAAGUAGAAGCAAAGAGAUUUUUGAUAGGCAGAUAGCUAUAGAAUUUCAAUUUGGUACUAUCCAACAAAACCAAUGGAUUGAGAAGAAAAAAGAGUUAUUGGAUAGAAUGGAAUUGAAAAGUUUUAUAUAAAAAGACAAUGGUUGGUAUUCACAUUUGGUUAUUAAUUGCUCAAAUCUAGAAUGAAUAAAGAGAAAUUGAACUUUGAAAAAGAAAAAUGAAUAAAAGAGGGUAUAAUGAAGGUUUAUCUAUUCCAAUAGUUGCUACUAUUAUUAUAGAGAAGAGUUUA
rnacentral:lncRNA from 1 species